GGGGGCGAUUGGUUUCGACGGGGUCUAGCGUGUUCGGAGCUUGCGUGGAGGGGUUGCGAGGAUGCCCCUUUAAACACCUCGCACCUAAACUAAAUGCCAACACUGGCAUGCGUAUGGCCGCCUAGGAAUAGGUAGCCCGUCCCCGGGACUUCGCCUGCGGGUUCCGACGGACGCCGACAGCAGGCUGUGACGGCCAAGUGCACCUCUGGCGCGGCCGCCGAGAUCUAGCAGCGGUUGGGUUCCCAAGGGGCGCGUUGUCUUGCCCGAGGGAAUCGAGAGCCUGAAAGGACAACUACCCACGUAGACGGCCCGAGCACCCGACAUCCGGACGCGGGUUCGAUUCCCGCCGCCUCCACCA
rnacentral:tmRNA from 1 species